rnacentral:rRNA from 1 species
ACGAACGCUGGCGGCGUGCUUAACACAUGCAAGUCGAACGAAGAGCGAUGGAAGCUUGCUUCUAUCAAUCUUAGUGGCGAACGGGUGAGUAACGCGUAAUCAACCUGCCCUUCAGAGGGGGACAACAGUUGGAAACGACUGCUAAUACCGCAUACGAUCUAAUCUCGGCAUCGAGGAUAGAUGAAAGGUGGCCUCUACAUGUAAGCUAUCACUGAAGGAGGGGAUUGCGUCUGAUUAGCUAGUUGGAGGGGUAACGGCCCACCAAGGCGAUGAUCAGUAGCCGGUCGGAGAGGAUGAACGGCCACAUUGGGACUGAGACACGGCCCAGACUCCUACGGGAGGCAGCAGUGGGGAAUCUUCCGCAAUGGACGAAAGUCUGACGGAGCAACGCCGCGUGAGUGAUGACGGCCUUCGGGUUGUAAAGCUCUGUUAAUCGGGACGAAAGGCCUUCUUGCGAAUAGUGAGAAGGAUUGACGGUACCGGAAUAGAAAGCCACGGCUAACUACGUG